GGGCUCUGCGCCCGAGCGGCGGGAAAGGCUGAGGCAGGGGGCGGGGAGGCGAGGGGGGAAGAGCCGGGAACGGGAAAAAAUCCGUCGGGGGCGCGCAGAAAGUAGAGCCGUCGCCGGAUCGACCCGGGCUGCUGCGGAGCCGGAGCGCGGAGACCGACGCCUGGCCCAGGCUGCCAGGAAACUGCCGCUUUCAAACCCGCCGCAACCUCCUCCUUCCUCCCUCUUCCCUUCCCCCCGCCCUCGCCCAUCCCUCAUCCAGAGCCCCGCCCCCUCCCGCCGCGCGGCGCCCGGCGCGCUGCCGUCACAGGCCAGGCGCUUGGGAAGGAGCCCAGCUCUCGACUCUCGCGCCGGGGAUUGGGCCCCGGCAGGCAGGGGGCGGACCCUCGACGAGAAUGAGCGCAGGCAUCGCCGAGGAGAGCUAUCAACAUUUCAUCUUGAAAAAUCUUUACAAAGAUCAAUGUCUCCACGAAGACUCCUCUCUGGCCCUUCAGUAUCUAAUCCCAGGCAACGGACUCGUAUGAUGCCUGAGUUCCUCUUCACUGUUUUAAUGAACAGCCGUCUGAUUUACCAUUCUAAUUCUUGCAUAUGCUUUAUUGACUGAACAUCAACUCAGCUUCAUUUAUUUUUCCUUUCUCUUUGUACUACUCUCAGCUUAAACACAAACAAAGAAUUCUUCCUUCCUACAGCUAUCCACAGGAAGUGAAUAUUUUUAAAUUACCAAAUCAAAUGUCUUGGUGUGUAGGGAAUUAUGUUUUGCAGACUCUUGAUGAUUAAGCCUUCUGAGAAUGCCAAUGGGCAACACACUCUUUUUGCUUUUUUCUUUUAAAGCAGACUCAACUUUAGGCAAGUUUAAGGUGUGUGGCACAGAGAUAAACUUACUAAGUGUAAGAUCUUCCCACGGAGAAAGUGCUGGAAGACACACCUGCCAGGCAUAUGGGCCCUGGAACCAAACUGCUGACUUCAGUUCUGAUUCUCACACUAACUGUUUGACCUUGUGUGAGUUAUUUAACUUUUCUGUGUCCCAUCUGUAAAAUAGGACUCCAACAGUACCUACUUGAAACAGUCAUUCUGAGGAUUAUAUGUAAAGGAUACUUGGAAUAAUGCCUUAAAGACAAGAAAUGCUUAAUAAGUAUUAGUUUCAGUUGUAUUAUUAGAAUUAUUAUUUUUUUAAAAAUCCAUAAUGUUGGGGAUGGCAUUGUGGCACAGUCGGUUGAGCUGCCAUGUGCAACUCCAGCAUCUCAUAUGAGCACUGGUUUGAAUCCCAGCUACUACUUUUCCAAUCUAGUUCCAGGCUAAUGCACUAGGGAAAGCAGUGGAAGAUGGUCUAACUGCUUGGGCCUCUGUAACCACGUUGGAUACCUGGAUGGAGUUCCAGGUUCCUGGCUUUGGCCUGGCCCAACCCUGGCUGUUGAGGCCAUUUGCGGGAGUGAACCAGCAGAUGGGAGAUCUCUCUCUCUCUCUCAAUCUCUCUCUUAUUCUGCCUUUUAAAUAAAUAAAUAAAUCUUGCUAUAAUGUAAACA
rnacentral:lncRNA from 1 species